rnacentral:rRNA from 1 species
UAACGCGUGGAUAAUCUGCCUCUGCAAUCGGAAUAACGACUGGAAACGGUCGCUAAUACCGGAUACGCUUAAGUUUUACCUCUUAAGGAAAGAUGACCUCUAUUUAUAAGUUAUCGUGCAGAGAUGAGUCCGCGUCCCAUUAGCUUGUUGGCGGGGUAACGGCCCACCAAGGCGACGAUGGGUAGCCGAUUUAAGAGGAUGAUCGGCCACAUUGGAACUGAAACACGGUCCAAACUCCUACGGGAGGCAGCAGUGGGGAAUAUUGCGCAAUGGGCGAAAGCCUGACGCAGCGACGCCGCGUGAGGGAUGAAGGUCUUCGGAUCGUAAACCUCUGUCAGAAGGGAAAAAUGUACAGUGCUCCAAUCAACACUGUAUUGAUGGUACCUUCAGAGGAAGCACCGGCUAACUCCGUGCCAGCAGCCGCGGUAAUACGGAGGGUGCAAGCGUUAAUCGGAAUUACUGGGCGUAAAGCGCGCGUAGGUUGUUUUGUAAGUCAGAGGUGUAAUCCCACGGCUUAACCGUGGAACUGCCUUUGAUACUGCAUAACUUGGAUCCGGGAGAGGACAGCGGAAUUCCAGGUGUAGGAGUGAAAUCCGUAGAUAUCUGGAAGAACAUCAGUGGCGAAGGCGGCUGUCUGGACCGGUAUUGACGCUGAGGCGCGAAAGCGUGGGGUAGCAAACAGGAUUAGAUACCCUGGUAGUCCACGCUGUAAACGAUGGAUGCUGGAUGU